UACGUAGGGGGCAAGCGUUGUCCGGAAUCAUUGGGCGUAAAGCGCGUGUAGGCGGCCAGAAAAGUCCGCUGUGAAAACUCGAGGCUCAACUUCGAGCUGUCGGUGGAAACUUUCUGGCUAGAGUCCGGAAGAGGAGAAUGGAAUUCCUGGUGUAGCGGUGAAAUGCGCAGAUAUCAGGAGGAACACCAAUGGCGAAGGCAGCUCGCUGGGACGUGACUGACGCUGAGGCGCGAAAGCGUGGGGAGCAAACAGG
rnacentral:rRNA from 1 species